AGAGUUUGAUCCUGGCUCAGGAUGAACGCUGGCGGCGUGCUUAACACAUGCAAGUCGAGCGAACCUUCGGGUUAGUGGCGGACGGGUGAGUAACGCGUGGGAAUCUGCCCUCAGGAGGGGGAUAACGGCUGGAAACGGCCGCUAAUACCCCAUAUGCCGAGAGGUGAAAAGAAAUUCGCCUGAGGAUGAGCCCGCGUCUGAUUAGCUAGUUGGUGGGGUAAGAGCUCACCAAGGCGACGAUCAGUAGCUGGUCUGAGGGGAUGAUCAGCCACACUGGGACUGAGACACGGCCCAGACUCCUACGGGAGGCAGCAGUGGGGAAUUUUCCGCAAUGGGCGAAAGCCUGACGGAGCAACGCCGCGUGAGGGAUGAAGGCCUCUGGGCUGUAAACCUCUUUUCUCAAGGAAGAAGACAUGACGGUACUUGAGGAAUAAGCCACGGCUAAUUCCGUGCCAGCAGCCGCGGUAAUACGGGAGUGGCAAGCGUUAUCCGGAAUUAUUGGGCGUAAAGCGUCCGCAGGCGGCCCUGUAAGUCUGUCGUUAAAGCGUGGAGCUUAACUCCAUUUAAGCGAUGGAAACUACAGGGCUUGAGUGUGGUAGGGGCAGAGGGAAUUCCCGGUGUAGCGGUGAAAUGCGUAGAUAUCGGGAAGAACACCAGUGGCGAAGGCGCUCUGCUGGGCCAUAACUGACGCUCAUGGACGAAAGCCAGGGGAGCGAAAGGGAUUAGAUACCCCUGUAGUCCUGGCCGUAAACGAUGAACACUAGGUGUCGGGGGAAUCGACCCCCUCGGUGUCGUAGCCAACGCGUUAAGUGUUCCGCCUGGGGAGUACGCACGCAAGUGUGAAACUCAAAGGAAUUGACGGGGGCCCGCACAAGCGGUGGAGUAUGUGGUUUAAUUCGAUGCAACGCGAAGAACCUUACCAGGGUUUGACAUCCUGCGAAUCCCUUGGAAACGAGGGAGUGCCUUCGGGAGCGCAGAGACAGGUGGUGCAUGGCUGUCGUCAGCUCGUUUCGUGAGAUGUUGGGUUAAGUCCCGCAACGAGCGCAACCCACGUCUUUAGUUGCCAGCAUUCAGUUGGGCACUCUAGAGAGACCGCCGGUGAUAAACCGGAGGAAGGUGUGGAUGACGUCAAGUCAUCAUGCCCCUUACAUCCUGGGCUACACACGUACUACAAUGCUACGGACAAAGGGCAGCAAGCUCGCGAGAGUUAGCAAAUCCCAUAAACCGUGGCUCAGUUCAGAUCGUAGGCUGCAACUCGCCUACGUGAAGGAGGAAUCGCUAGUAAUCGCAGGUCAGCAUACUGCGGUGAAUACGUUCCCGGGCCUUGUACACACCGCCCGUCACGCCAUGGAAGUUGGCCAUGCCCGAAGUCGUUACUCC
rnacentral:rRNA from 1 species